UGCGAUGUUGUAGCCUACUUGAUUCUCCUCCUGAUGUUGGUGUCGUUUCAUUUGGUGUGGUUAGAGUAUGUGGAGAGUGCGGAGAUGGUGUACUAGAAGGUUCUUGAACCUCUAGAUAUUCUUCGUUCCUUAUAGUACUCUCGAACGGAUAAGGGAGAAAAUCGUAGUUAUCCUCUUCGGGAACAUUCCAAUCCCAUGUUGCUUCUUCAUCGAACAACACGUCUCGACUUGAGAUUACUUUAC
rnacentral:lncRNA from 1 species